UACGAAGGGUGCAAGCGUUACUCGGAAUUACUGGGCGUAAAGCGUGCGUAGGUGGUUUGUUAAGUCUGAUGUGAAAGCCCCCGGCUCAACUGGGGAGGGUCAUUCGAUACUGAUCGACUUGAAGGCAGGAGAGGGAAGUGGAAUUCCGGGUGUAGUGGUGAAAUGCGUAGAUAUCCGGAGGAACACCAGUGGCGAAGGCGACUUCCUGGCCUGUUCUUGACGCUGAGGCGCGAAAGCUGGGGGAGCAAACGGG
rnacentral:rRNA from 1 species